rnacentral:lncRNA from 1 species
GUUCUUUUUAAGAUUUGGGGUGAAGUAGGGUUGGCAGAGAAUCAUAACCGUUGCUAUUUUCCUCCCACUUCCAUUCCCUGCCCCAUCAGGAGUGAUAAACAAAUCCAGAGAGAUGUGCCAAGCUCACCUUCAGCGUGACAGCCCUGAGUGACCAGAAUUCUGAGCUGACAAGGACAUAAACUCUUAUGCCUUGGACUCUUCAGCAUCCUAGCUGAAAGGAUUUAUCUCCACGUCCACCUUCUCAGGGACACCAAUGCCUUUCUGCUCGGUGACAGUGUCUGACCCUCCCUGCAGGAAAGAUGUGCUACCAGCAUCCGCAAAAACAGAUUUUCUGUGAGUCUCCCAAAAAUCUCUUAACAUUUAAUUAAAAGAAAAUUUGACAUGUCUACUAGAUCGGGAGCUACUUGGGAUGGAGAUCUCAUCCCUGAUUACAUGAUCCCCUUAACAACUGCAGCUAUACAGCUGAAGCAGCAGUAAAAUGUAGUAAGAGAUCUAUCAGUUUAAUACAUAUUAUAAUCAUCUUUAACUUGUAAGUGAACUUGUGUACUUAGAAAAGACCAGUAGCA